CAAGACUUGUCUUGCGUUGGUUUCGUUAAUCUAUUUGAUUUCUAACAGGGUAUGUGAUUACCCUGCAUUUAUUAUAUUUAUAUAUACAAUAUAUAUUUAUUUAUAAUAUAUAUUUUUUGUUUGUUUUUGUAUUGAUUUCGAUCCCACCAAAAACAUUUCUGCAUAUCUGUCCGCCAACAAUUUACUUAUUAAAUUUUUGUCUACAUAAUUUUUCACUUGCAAUUUACUAAUAAUUUUCCCCACUGCUCUUAACAGGAGGAUAGCUUAUCAGUUUGGAAUCGCACCGCCACUGACCACCCGAGUACGACACGUAUCCGCGAUACGCUACGUAGGAUAUUAAACAUACCUCUCACAACAGCAAUGGAGUAUAAGAUACACUGUGAUAGCCUUAAAUAUGUAGCAAUUAAUAAAGGCCCUCUGAAAAGCUGAAAUUCAGUAAAUACGUUCAACGCAACAAAAAUAAAAACAAUUGCAGAUGAUACAACACCCUUUGUGGAAAACAAUACUAGCAACAACAACAGCAACAUCAAUGGCAACGGCAGCGGUAGUAGCACCAACCAAAUCAAUACAAACAGCAAUAAUUACAACAACCAUGGAGACAACUACAACUGCAACAAUUAUUCAGACAACAAUACAACUGACAUUGCUAAAACCUAGAACACAAAAUAAAAACAAAAAUACAACAAAACCCAUCCUCUAACCACCAUACCAAUAAAAACAACAAAGAGGCAUAGCAACGCAACUUAUGUACACUCUGGGACCACAUCGCCUACCAUAGUACGGAAAAAGCUAAACUGGAUAUAAAUAAUUGCAAAACUUUAAUUUUCAUGCUGAAUGCAAAUACAUGCGUACACACAUACAUAGACACAUAUGUAUGAUGCAUUAAGAGAAGCAACAUUUUGCGAUUGUUUGCAUGAAGGUUUGCGAUUUAAUAAAUAGCGAAACUUGGACCCCCAACUCAAAUGAAAACAAUUACAACAAGAACACUGCUGCAACCUCAACUUAAAUAUCAACCUCAAACCGACUAAAAUUAAAUUAAAAACUGAAUAUUCAACAUUUGCCAUUUUUUGUGUGCUGCAUACACGAAAAUUCUCUAAAAAUGUUGUUGCCACAUAAUAUUGCAUUAAUAUAUCACGAUUAUCACGUGAAUACUGUCAUCUGCGCGACACCAACAAUCGCCUAAAUUGUUUUUGUUUCAUACCGAUUUGCAAAUAAUUCUCGAUGAAUUUCUGUUUAACAUAAAAAUCCAAAAAGUUGGUACCCACCCCUUAAAGAAUACAGAGUGAAGAAAAGUAAAAAUUU